rnacentral:tRNA from 1 species
GCGCCCAUAGCUCAAUUGGAUAGAGCACCAGUCUACGGAACUGGGUGUUGGAGGUUCGACUCCUCCUGGGCGCA